CAUGUAGGCGGAUCCAUAAGUCGGGCGUGAAAUCCCCAGGCUCAACCUGGGAACUGCGCUCGAAACUGUAGGUCUUGAGUGUCGGAGAGGAUGGCGGAAUUCCUGGUGUAGAGGUGAAAUUCGUAGAUAUCAGGAGGAACACCGGUGGCGAAGGCGGCCAUCUGGACGACAACUGACGCUGAGAUGCGAAAGCGUGGGGAGCAAACAGGAUUAGAUACCCUGGUAGUCCACGCCGUAAACGAUGGGUGCUAGGUGUCUCGGGUAUUGACCCCUGAGGUGCCGUAGCUAACGCGUUAAGCACCCCGCCUGGGAAGUACGGUCGCAAGACUAAA
rnacentral:rRNA from 1 species